rnacentral:rRNA from 1 species
UACGAAGGGGGCUAGCGUUGUUCGGAAUUACUGGGCGUAAGGCGCGCGCAGGCGGUCUUCCAAGUCAGUGGUGAAAGCCCGGAGCUCAACUCCGGAACUGCCAUUGAAACUGUUGGACUUGAGUACGAGAGAGGUGAGUGGAAUUCCCAGUGUAGAGGUGAAAUUCGUAGAUAUUGGGAAGAACACCGGUGGCGAAGGCGGCUCACUGGCUCGUAACUGACGCUCAGGCGCGACAGCGUGGGGAUCAAACAGG